rnacentral:rRNA from 1 species
GGUUAAGCGACUAAGCGUACACGGUGGAUGCCCUGGCAGUCAGAGGCGAUGAAGGACGUGCUAAUCUGCGAUAAGCGUCGGUAAGGUGAUAUGAACCGUUAUAACCGGCGAUUUCCGAAUGGGGAAACCCAGUGUGAUCCGUCACACUAUCAUUACGUGAAUACAUAGCGUAAUGAAGCGAACCGGGGGAACUGAAACAUCUAAGUACCCCGAGGAAAAGAAAUCAACCGAGAUUCCCCCAGUAGCGGCGAGCGAACGGGGAGCAGCCCAGAGUCUGAAUCAGCUUGUGUGUUAGUGGAACGGUCUGGAAAGUCCGACGGUACAGGGUGAUAGUCCCGUACACCAAAAUGCACAGGUUGUGAACUCGAAGAGUAGGGCGGGACACGUGGUAUCCUGUCUGAAUAUGGGGGGACCAUCCUCCAAGGCUAAAUACUCCUGACUGACCGAUAGUGAACCAGUACCGUGAGGGAAAGGCGAAAAGAACCCCGGCGAGGGGAGUGAAAAAGAACCUGAAACCGUGUACGUACAAGCAGUGGGAGCCUCUUUAUGGGGUGACUGCGUACCUUUUGUAUAAUGGGUCAGCGACUUAUAUUCUGUAGCAAGGUUAACCGUAUAGGGGAGCCGAAGGGAAACCGAGUCUUAACUGGGCGUUAAGUUGCAGGGUAUAGACCCGAAACCCGGUGAUCUAGCCAUGGGCAGGUUGAAGGUUGGGUAACACUAACUGGAGGACCGAACCGACUAAUGUUGAAAAAUUAGCGGAUGACUUGUGGCUGGGGGUGAAAGGCCAAUCAAACCGGGAGAUAGCUGGUUCUCCCCGAAAGCUAUUUAGGUAGCGCCUCGUGAACUCAUCUUCGGGGGUAGAGCACUGUUUCGGCUAGGGGGUCAUCCCGACUUACCAACCCGAUGCAAACUGCGAAUACCGAAGAAUGUUAUCACGGGAGACACACGGCGGGUGCUAACGUCCGUCGUGAAGAGGGAAACAACCCAGACCGCCAGCUAAGGUCCCAAAGUCAUGGUUAAGUGGGAAACGAUGUGGGAAGGCACAGACAGCCAGGAUGUUGGCUUAGAAGCAGCCAUCAUUUAAAGAAAGCGUAAUAGCUCACUGGUCGAGUCGGCCUGCGCGGAAGAUGUAACGGGGCUAAACCAUGCACCGAAGCUGCGGCAGCGACACUAUGUGUUGUUGGGUAGGGGAGCGUUCUGUAAGCCGUUGAAGGUGU